CAGUUCGACUACGAUUACACAAAAAAGUGUCGUAUGAAAAAGUGCGAAAACGAACUCAGCCAAGUGCGAUUUUCAGUUACUGUGCACAGAACUUUGGUACAGACUUUUGUUUUGGAAAAUUAUACAGGAUUAAAUCUAGCAACACUGUUGUGCCGAAAACAAACUCAGUCACAGGAUUAGUCGACAUUCGCGACAUUCAUGCGCGAACUGUCAAACGAACCUCGAAAAUUUUCACUGUUGUUUUGCACCCUUCGCAACACAUUCGUUACGAGAUUGGAGUGAACUAAAAUUUUAUUUUAACUUUAAAUUGGCCUCAAGAAAAACAAAAUACCUCCUCAGCUGUACCUUUUUUGUAAGCAAGCAAAAACCGGCGUGCUCCACCAACCCGGUUCCAUCGUGGCAAGCAGCCGUGGUAGUGAAAUUUUAUCAAAAUCCUCCCGUACCAGCCGUCGCCGGCAAAAUGCAUAAGAGCAGCAAGCAGUUUACCCGAGCAGCGACUACACAAGACGACGUCACUUGGAAUCAUUACACGGUGGUAGAUGGGCCUUGUGUUCCAGAGUUGGUCAGCUUCGAGGCAGCCCAAUCCGGAUGGGAGCGAUAAUGAGGUGGCAAGGUACCAACAGCAACAAAUCCGUUUCAAAUUUCCCGCAUCAAGAUUAGUCCCUCGCGGCUGCUGACGUUGUGCCACACUGGCCGUUCGGCCUGCUACCGGCGGAAUCUGCUAAACUUCCGCGAGUCCCAUCGUCCAGUUUCAAGUGCUGGCGGCUUCAAGCCCAACUGGUACAGUUACAUGUUGACAACAAGCUGUCCGAGCUGACUGGUGUGGAUGUCCUCGAACGGAAGCAUCACGAUUCUUCCAGCCUACGAAAUGACACUUCGUUAACAUCUUUUGGAUCAAUGCAUGAAUAUCGAGUCUCUGAGAAAUCAGUCCACCAAAACGCUGACAGCAAUCUGAAUCAUCGAUCAGGACUCAGCUGCGCGUGGUCACAUGAUCACAUUUUUUUAGGUAGAUUUUCUUAUCGCGUGUGUGGAUCAUCUUCAGAUCAAGUGACACGAGUAAGUUUAUUUCAAUUUGAUCCAUUUAGCAUUAGCAUUAGCAUUUUAGGACGCCCUAUCCACGGAUGGCUCCACAACGCUUAUCCCACUGUUUGGUCUGGUUGUGUUAGACCCUCAUCCGGAACAAUAAUCCAACACGGGAGAUACCAUGUCUUCAUCUUUUGAUGAGUGUGUAAUACAGCCCAGGGCAUAAGGGGGUCCUCGCCGGGUCCAAGCUAUCCUUUGGGGAUCGGAAGGAAUGUUAGUAAACACCUAUCUAAAGUGCGCAAGGAUCCCUGCGUCACCUUAGUGGUAUAGAUGUUUGUAGGGAGGUUUUGGACUCAAUGUUAGUAGACAGGUAAGACCCUAGGAUAUACCUCGAAAGGUAUUGCGGGUGAUAUGUAAGUUUGUUUAAUUGUUUGGGGUUUUUUGCUAACUUAGCAUUUUUGUUAGAUUGUUGUAUUUAAACUCAUUCAGCCGGCUUCAGAGUGCACAUAAUAAGAUUUAAAGUUUUCAUUUUAACUAUCCUAAACUAUUUUUUAAAAUCUAACUGGUUUUGUAUUUUAUCGUGUAAGUAAUUUACAUAUUG